CGGACGGGUGAGUAACGCGGUGGGUAACCUGCCUCACACGAGGGGAUAACAGCGAAGUAAAUUGCUGACUAAAACCGCAUAAGCGCACAGUAACGCAUGGUUACGGUGUGAAAAACUCCGGUGGUGUGAGAUGGACCCGCGUCUGAUUAGCUUGUUGGUGAGGUAACGGCCCACCAAGGCGACGAUCAGUAGCCGACCUGAGAGGGUGACCGGCCACAUUGGGACUGAGACACGGCCCAAACUCCUACGGGAGGCAGCAG
rnacentral:rRNA from 1 species